rnacentral:rRNA from 1 species
GGAGGAAUAUUGGGCAAUGGACGAAAGUCUGACCCAGCAACGCCGCGUGAAGGAUGAAGGCCUUCGGGUCGUAAACUUCUUUUGAGGGAGACGAGAAAGGACGGUAUCCCUCGAAUAAGCCACGGCUAACUACGUGCCAGCAGCCGCGGUAAAACGUAGGUGGCGAGCGUUAUCCGGAUUCAUUGGGCGUAAAGAGCUUGUAGGUGGUGCGAUAAGUUGGACGUGAAAACUCCGGGCUUAACUUGGAGAGGCCGUUCAAUACUGUUGUGCUAGAGGGCGUCAGAGGGAAGUGGAAUUCCUGGUGUAGCAGUGAAAUGCGUAGAUAUCAGGAGGAACAUCCGUGGCGAAGGCGGCUUCCUGGGGCGCACCUGACACUGAGAAGCGAAAGCUAGGGGAGCAAACGGGAUUAGAAACCCCGGUAGUCCUAGCUGUAAACGAUGGAUGCUAGGUGUGAGUGGAUCUAACCCCGCUCGUGCCGAAGCUAACGCGUUAAGCAUCCCGCCUGGGAACUACGAGCGCAAGCUUAAAACUUAAAUGAAUUGACGGGGUCAUAGCUGUUUCCU